ACGGACUGUCAUUUAACCCGUUCGUUUCUCGUCGCAGAGGACAAGCUGUCGACUGGCGUCUCGCCGAUUGAGCGCACCUUGUCUCGCCGAGUUCCUGAUUCCUGCUGCACGUUGCCAAGAUGAUGUACACGGGGACAACUGCUUCGCAGGACACCAGGUUCAGCGACAAGGAGAAGAAGCUUCUAAAGCAAAUGAAGUUUGGAGAUUCAUUGA